GAUGAACGCUGGCGGCGUGCUUAAUACAUGCAAGUCGAACGGAUUUCCUUCGGGGGAUCAGUGGCGCACGGGUGAGUAACGCGUGGGAACCUGUCAUGGAGUGGGGAACAACCGCUGGAAACGGCGGCUAAUACCGCAUGAGCCCUGAGGGGCAAAGGUCGCAAGACCGCUUUGUGAGGGGCCCGCGUCCGAUUAGCUUGUUGGUGGGGUAAUGGCCUACCAAGGCUACGAUCGGUAGCUGGUCUGAGAGGAUGAUCAGCCACACUGGGACUGAGACACGGCCCAGACUCCUACGGGUGGCAG
rnacentral:rRNA from 1 species